rnacentral:rRNA from 1 species
GAUGAACGCUAGCGAUAGGCUUCACACAUGCAAGUCGAGGGGCAGCAUUAUUUUAGCUUGCUAAGAUAGAUGGCGACCGGCGCACGGGUGCGUAACGCGUAUGCAACCUGCCUGUAAUUAGGGAAUAACCCGGUGCAAAGUCGGACUAAUACCCAUAUAUUCUUCUUUCUCCGCAUGGAGAAGGACGGAAAGAUUUAUUGAUUACAGAUGGGCAUGCGUCCCAUUAGCUGGUUGGUAAGGUAACGGCUUACCAAGGCAACGAUGGGUAGGGGGACUGAGAGGUUGACCCCCACACUGGUACUGAGACACGGACCAGCACUCCUACGGGAGGCAGCAGUGAGGAAUAUUGGUCAAUGGGCGAGAGCCUGAACCAGCCAAGUCGCGUGAAGGACGACGGUUCUAUGGAUUGUAAACUUCUUUUGUAGAGGAAUAAUGGCAGCUACGUGUAGCUGAGAUGCAUGUACUCUACGAAUAAGUAUCGGCUAACUCCGUGCCGGCAGCCGCGGUAAUACGGAGGAUACGAGCGUUAUCCGGAAUUAUUGGGUUUAAAGGGUGCGUAGGUGGCGUAUUAAGUCAGUGGUGAAAAGCUGCAGUUCAACUGUAGUCUUGCCGUUGAAACUGAUAUGCUAGAGAGGAGACGAGGUAUGCGGAAUGUGUGGUGUAGCGGUGAAAUGCAUAGAUAUCACACAGAACGCCGAUUGCGAAGGCAGCGUACCAGGCUCCGUCUGACACUGAAGCACGAAAGCGUGGGGAUCAAACAGGAUUAGAUACCCUGGUAGUCCACGCAGUAAACGAUGAAUACUAGAUUUUUGCGAUAUAGUGUAAGAGUCUAAGCGAAAGCGAUAAGUAUUCCACCUGGGGAGUACGCCGGCAACGGUGAAACUCAAAGGAAUUGACGGGGGCCCGCACAAGCGGAGGAUCAUGUGGUUUAAUUCGAUGAUACGCGAGGGAACCUGACCCCGGGAUUGAAAUUUAGAAUGGCGGCAGAUGAGAGUUUGCCUUUCCUUCGGGACAUCUAAGUCGGUGCUGCAUGGUAGUCGUCAGCUCGUGCAGUGAGGUGUCGGCUUUAGUGCCAUUAACGAGCGCCAACCCG